CACCUGGAAACAGAUGCUAAUACCGGAUACAACAGAUGAUGCUAUCAACUGUUUAAAGUAUGGUUCUGCUAUCACUCUUGGAUGGACCUGCGGUGCAUUAGCUAGUUGGUAGGGUAACGGCCUACCAAGGCGAUGAUGCAUAGCCGAGUUGAGAGACUGAUCGGCCACAUUGGGACUGAGACACGGCCCAAACUCCUACGGGAGGCAGCAGUAGGGAAUCUUCCACAAUGGACGCAAGUCUGAUGGAGCAACGCCGCAUGAGUGAAGAAGGGUUUCGGCUCGUAAAGCUCUGUUGUUGGUGAAGAAGGACAGGGGUAGUAACUGACCUUUGUUUGACGGUAAUCAAUUAGAAAGUCACGGGCUAACUACGUGCCAGCAGCCGCGGUAAAU
rnacentral:rRNA from 1 species